UCCCAGACUCCUACGGGAGGCAGCAGUGAGGAAUAUUGGUCAAUGGCCGCAGGGCUGAACCAGCCAAGUCGCGUGAGGGAUGACGGUCCUAUGGAUUGUAAACCUCUUUUGUCAGGGAGCAAAGGGCGCCACGUGUGGCGCUUUGCGAGUACCUGAAGAAAAAGCAUCGGCUAACUCCGUGCCAGCAGCCGCGGUAAUACGGAGGAUGCGAGCGUUAUCCGGAUUUAUUGGGUUUAAAGGGUGCGUAGGCGGUCCGGAAAGUCAGGGUUAAAAGCCCGGGGCUCACCCUCUUCGAGCCGUUGAAACUGGUUUUCUUGAGUGAGUGAGAAGUAUGCGGAAUGCGUGGUGUAGCGGUGAAAUGCAUAGAUAUCACGCAGAACUCCGAUUGCGAAGGCAGCAUACCGGCGCCCAACUGACGCUGAAGCACGAAAGCGUGGGUAUCGAACAGGAUUAGAUACCCGUGUA
rnacentral:rRNA from 1 species